AGAUGUGGGAAGCAAGAGAUUAGGCAAUAACGGGAAAUGCCCCACUUCCUACUGUGGCCACCAGGAGGCACUGUGGAGAAAGAUAUGAGGGAUACGUGGGUCAAUACGCCAGAUAGGACAGCUACAGUCUCUGCCUUCCUGGUUUUAGCAGAUAAUUGCAGCAGGGAGAAGCUGUAUUUCCUCUCUGCCCUCUCUUGAGGGCUGAGGCCAGCAUGCUCACCCAGCAGACAUCUCCCUCUGCCUUUAAGAUGCAGCCAAGGUUUCUCCAGGAUGGCCAUCCUCCCCAAGGGGGCUGAUUGCUGGUACCCAGGCAAGAUGUCUCCUUUCUGAGUACUUCUGAGUGGCUUCCUCUCAGAAACUUCUAGUUGAGCUUCCCCAACACUUGAUAUUUCCCCUGCAGUGAACUGGACGCCCAGUGUUCACCCACUGCCAGGGGUUCAUCCUUUUAAAUCUCAGUGCCUUUUCAUGUUCAGGCAUACCUAUUAAAAGAUGAACACCCUGGAAAGUGCACCUUGUUAAGCUCAUAAUUUGCAAUACAGAACCCAGGCUUCUUGUUGCUUAAGGGCGAGCCCUGGAGUAAUAGAACUUAUCUUCCUCUAGUGGUAUCUUUCUGUGGUUGGCACACUUCACACAUCAGUCUUCAUGACAACCCUACAGGAAAGCCACGUGGUAAAAGAG
rnacentral:lncRNA from 1 species